GCGGCAGUAGUCUAGCCUGGUAGGACUCGAGCUUCCCAAGCUCGCGACCCGGGUUCAAAUCCCGGCUGCCGCA
rnacentral:tRNA from 1 species